rnacentral:rRNA from 1 species
GAUGAACGCUAGCUAUAGGCUUAACACAUGCAAGUCGAGGGGAAACGGCAUUAUGUGCUUGCACAUUUUGGACGUCGACCGGCGCACGGGUGAGUAUCGCGUAUCCAACCUGCCCUUUACUUGGGGAUACCCCGUUGAAAGACGGCCUAAUACCCGAUGUAAUUCAUUGAUGGCAUCAGAUAUGAAUAAAAGAUUUAUCGGUAAAGGAUGGGGAUGCGUCUGAUUAGCUUGUUGGUGAGGUAACGGCUCACCAAGGCGACGAUCAGUAGGGGUUCUGAGAGGAAGGUCCCCCACAUUGGAACUGCGACACGGUCCAAACUCCUACGGGAGGCAGCAGUGAGGAAUAUUGGUCAAUGGGCGCAAGCCUGAACCAGCCAAGUAGCGUGCAGGAAGACGGCCCUAUGGGUUGUAAACUGCUUUUAUACGAGAAUAAUUUGAUGCACGUGUGCGUUAUUGCAUGUAUCGUAUGAAUAAGGACCGGCUAAUUCCGUG